rnacentral:rRNA from 1 species
AUUGAACGCUGGCGGCAUGCCUUACACAUGCAAGUCGAACGGUAACGGGCCUUCGGGUGCCGACGAGUGGCGAACGGGUGAGUAAUACAUCGGAACGUGCCCGAUCGUGGGGGAUAACGAGGCGAAAGCUUUGCUAAUACCGCAUACGAUCUACGGAUGAAAGCAGGGGGCCGCAAGGCCUUGCGCGGACGGAGCGGCCGAUGGCAGAUUAGGUAGUUGGUGGGAUAAAAGCUUACCAAGCCGACGAUCCGUAGCUGGUCUGAGAGGAUGAUCAGCCACACUGGGACUGAGACACGGCCCAGACUCCUACGGGAGGCAGCAGUGGGGAAUUUUGGACAAUGGGCGCAAGCCUGAUCCAGCCAUGCCGCGUGCAGGAUGAAGGCCUUCGGGUUGUAAACUGCUUUUGUACGGAACGAAAAGCCUUCUUUUAAUACAGGAGGGUCAUGACGGUACCGUAAGAAUAAGCACCGGCUAACUACGUG